rnacentral:lncRNA from 10 species
CAACGCUCAGUUCAGGUGGCUCUUCCUUCAGAAAGCCUUUUUCCAUCUACUGUCCUACUGCCCCUCCCAAGUUAAGAGCAGGUGCUGCAAACGGACUGCAUUUGUUGGGGUUGCUCAGCAGGAAAUUGGGGGGGCAGUGAGUGACUCACCAAAACUGAGGGAUACGAAAGGACAAUAGAAUAACAACAGAGAAAAACAUGAAGACAGAAAGGACACCAAAAGAUUUAUGAGGCUUUAAAUUCAGUUGUAAAGUCAAGACUGAUGGAAGAAAUAUUAAUGAACAUACCUGGAAGACUCAUAGAUUUUAUGAAAGACCUUCAUAGAUAUCGUCUACAACCUGCAUAUAUUAUAUAAUAAAAUAUUGAUAGAACUACAUAUUGGAAAUAAUUAUUUUUAAUAAAUUACUGUAUAUAUAAUUUAAUUUUCUGAUAAACCAGUGAAAAUUAAAAAUAUUGUCCUUUUGUACCAUACACAAA